rnacentral:tRNA from 3 species
GGGCCUGUAGCUCAGUGGAUUAGAGCACGUGGCUACGAACCACGGUGUCGGGGGUUCAAAUCCCUCCUCGCCCG